CUACGGCUAUAUCACGUUGAAACAUCGGUUCCCGUCUGAUUAUUGUAGUUAAGCAACGUCGAUUCUGGUUAGUACCUAAAUUGGCAACCGGUUGGGAAUACCAGGUGCUGUAAG